rnacentral:rRNA from 1 species
CCCUUAGACGUUCUGGGCCGCACGCGCGCUACACUGACCAGUGCAACAAGCAUCCGUCCUUGGCCGACAGGCCCGGGCAAUCUUUGAACGCUGGUCGUGAUGGGGAUAGACUUUUGCAAUUUUUGGUCUUCAACGAGGAAUUCCUAGUAAACGCAAGUCAUCAACUUGCAUUGAUUACGUCCCUGCCCUUUGUACACACCGCCCGUCGCACCUACCGAUUGAAUGGUCCGGUGAAAUCUCGGGACGGCGGCUUGGUCGCUUGCGUCCGACUGCUGAAACUUGAUUAAACCAUAUCAUUCAGAGGAAGGUGAAGUCGUAACA